rnacentral:lncRNA from 1 species
AGACGAACAUGCAUAAUAAACAUACUUUGGUGGUUCAGUUCUCCUAAGAAGGGUUCAACUGAGCAGCAUGUAGGAGUCAUAUGCAAAGAAGUUUCUGGAUGCAGGACAGAGCACAGCCUCAGGAAGGUCACAUGGGUCAAGCUGAUUACCUCCUCCAGCUCUGGCAAGCAGAGGGCUCAGCUGGGUUACCCAAGUUCACAGGGAGCUAUUGACAUUCAGCUGCAGCUCUCGCUCAUUACUGAUCAGCGGGAGACAGUCUGGGUUAACUCUUGCUGCCCUGUUUCAAGAAUACAGGGAGGCCACAAAAGAAGCUGUAAGGUAACUUCGCCUCAGCUCAUGCCUGGUUGUAAUCCAAGAAAUGAACCUUUUAAACCAGUAGCUAAUAAACCUCUUACAAAGGGAAGCAACGAUUCACUUAAUCAUUUUAAAGGUGCUGGAUAAAACACAAGUGAAUAUAUUUGUCCCAUAUUUGUUCAUUACGCAGUAAAUGUUUAUUUCCGGGGAGAGUUGGGGGUAGGAUAUGUUUUAUCUUCCCAUCAAGAAGAAUUCCUGCUUCGUCUUUAAGAAAGAAGGCCCCUACCAUUUCUCAAAAGAUAAUAGCAUUUGUAAUUCUCCGUCACUUAAAAGUGCAUCUUUCCCAAGUUGCUCAUGUGAAACUAACCUCAGGGAAAAGCUUAGUGAUUCAUCAUCUGAGAAGUGAAGUUUUAAGGAAGUUUGGAACCUCUCUAUUAGGUUACAGACUUGGGGCUCUUGGUGGUAAACCAGUUCCUCCAGGCUUUGAUCUCCUGCUGACACAUUAUGAUCUUCUAGAAGUGACUUAACCUGUCUGCUUCUAUAAACUCAUUUGUAAAUUGAGAAUAAUAGUUAAUUAAUCCUUGAAGCAUGUCUUUCUGGUAGCUAUGGGAAGAGUGACUCACUGUUAAAUCCGAGGGCCUCUAAAUCAUCUUUAUCAUCACUAGCUCUCUGCUUUUCAGCAUCCUGCUGGUCCCGGAACACACGUUAUGUUGAAUCCUUGAUUCUCUUUUGUUCCUAAUCACUCCUGCAAAUGGUUGAGGAUCUAUACACAGUUGAGGCCGAUUUUCACUCAACUAUUAUAUUUAACCAAAAUGUGCUAAGCUUCCUUUAAGGGCCAAGCACUUGCAAGACCAAAGUCCUACCCUUAAGGAGCUUAGAGUUUAGGCAGAAAACAAGGAGUUAGAAAAAACAAUGUGGUCAAGUCUAGAAAAUCCAAAGGAAUGGUUUAGACUCCAGGUGGAUUUGGUGAGUUAGGAGUUAUCCCAUUUGAUUUCUGACUUUGUCAGAUGACCUAGCUAACCGCCAAAUCUACGCUUGACCUGAGGAAAUGAAAAGACUACUUAUCUAGAUUCUCUCAAUCGUGACUUUAAUCACAAAUGCAAACAGAAAUCCCCAGAUCUAGCUCUUUCUGUUACAUUUGACGUUG